rnacentral:snoRNA from 1 species
UUUGUAUAUGAUGAUCAACAAGGGACUUAAUACUGAUUUUGUGUGAUGUCACCUUUCAAACGAUCUGAUAUAG